CUUGGAAGCAGCCAUUCAUUUAAAGAGUGCGUAACAGCUCACUAGUCGAGCGGUUCUGCAUGGAUAAUACACGGGCAUAAGCAUACAGCCGAAGCUAUGGACUCAUCGAAAGGUGAGUGGUAGGAGAGCAUUCCAUUUAGCGUUGAAGCAGUAUCGUGAGGUAUUGUGGAGCAAAUGGAAAAGCAAAUGUAGGCAUAAGUAACGAUAAUGCGGGUGAGAACCCCGCACGCCGAAAGGUCAAGGAUUCCCCGGCAAUGUCAAUCAACCGGGGGUAAGUCGGGUCCUAAGUCGAAGCCGAAGGGCGUAGACGAUGGCCAACAGGUUAAUAUUCCUGUACUCAUAUAUGCUGCGAUGCAGGGACGUAGUAGUGACACCGCUGCGUACAGACGAAAUAGUACGUUGAAGCCUUUAUCUGUCGAUGCUGAUAGUUAAGUACGUCAGCAGAGGAAAGGGGUGAUAGUACCGCAAGGCUUCGGCUGCGCGGAUAAUGCGGGUAAUCAGACUACCAAGAAAAUCUGCUAAGCUUCAGGCAUAUAUGACCCGUACUGUAAACGGACACACGUGACCGGGUAGAGAAUACUAAGGCGCUCGAGAUAUUCAUGGCUAAGGAACUAGGCAAAAUGGUCCUGUAACUUCGGGAUAAAGGACGCUGGGGUAAAAUCCAGCCGCAGUAAAAUGGCCCAGGCGACUGUUUACCAAAAACACAUGGCUAUGCUAAAUCGUAAGAUGAUGUAUAUGGCCUGACACCUGCCCGGUGCUGGAAGGUUAAGAGGAGGGUUUAGUAGCAAUACGACGAUCUGAAUUGAAGCCCCAGUAAACGGCGGCCGUAACUAUAACGGUCCUAAGGUAGCGAAAUUCCUUGUCGGGUAAGUUCCGACCUGCACGAAUGGUGUAACGAUCUGGGUACUGUCUCAACCAUGAGCUCGGUGAAAUUGUAGUUCCGGUGAAGAUGCCGGAUACCCGCAACGGGACGGAAAGACCCCGUGAACCUUUACUGCAGCUUUGCAUUGAUUUUGGGUAAGUGAUGUGUAGGAUAGGUCGGAGGCAUUGAAAUGGCAUCGUCAGGUGUCAUGGAGCCGCUGUUGAAAUACGACCCUUUACUUAUCUGAGGUCUAAUCUCCUUAGUGGAGAGACAUUGCAUGGUGGGUAGUUUGACUGGGGUGGUCGCCUCCAAAAGCGUAACGGAGGCUUCUCAAGGUACCCUCAUGGCGUUUGGUAAUCGCCAGUAGAGUGCAAUGGCAUAAGGGUGCUUGACUGUGAGACCCACAAGUCGAUCAGGUUGGAAACAAGAGCAUAGUGAUCCGGUGGUUUCCGUAUGGAAGGGCCAUCGCUCAAAGGAUAAAAGGUACUCCGGGGAUAACAGGCUGAUCGCUCCCAAGAGCUCAUAUCGACGGAGCGGUUUGGCACCUCGAUGUCGGCUCGUCACAUCCUGGGGCUGGAGAAGGUCCCAAGGGUUCGGCUGUUCGCCGAUUAAAGUGGCACGCGAGCUGGGUUCAGAACGUCGUGAGACAGUUCGGUCCCUAUCUGUUGUGGGCGCAGGAUAUUUGCGGAGAUCUGACACUAGUACGAGAGGACCGUGUUGGACGCACCUCUGGUGCAUCAGUUGUGAUGUCAAUUGCAUUGCUGAGUAACUACGUGCGGAAAGGAUAAGCGCUGAAAGCAUCUAAGCGCGAAGCCAACUUCAAGAUGAGAUAUUCUUUUAAGGGUCGUUUAAGACGAAGACGUAGAUAGGUUGCAGGUGUAUAGUCGGUGACGGCACAGCUGAGCAAUACUAAUCACCCGAUAGCUUCAUUA
rnacentral:rRNA from 1 species